UAUUUUCUUUGAAAUUUAUAAAAAAUAAAGAUUCCAAUUUCAACGUGUUCAUCUUUAAUAACAUUAAAAAUCGCAGACACUAAACAUUGACAAGUAUCAUGCAUUCUUCAUUUUUCAGGGUGGAGCCAAAUCCCUCCCUGAAAAUCUUGGUCAUGCUUUGUCUCUAAGUGAUGAGGACUCGGAUGAUGAAGCACGAUCAGUUGUCACUUUUAAAUUAAAAGAUUACUUGGAUAAACGGACAACUCAGAAAUUUGUUAAUGGCAUCAACCGAAUGUGUAUUCUGGGGUAUUUUAGGUGUCUGGAACCAGAGCCUAGAAGCAUUAAGAAAAAAUGUCUCCCCAAGUUGCAGGGUCCGGAGCAAGACAUGGUUGAUGCCUUCAACAAAAUACUAAGUUCACUGCCAGACCACAUUUCCCAAAAAAUUAAUGAGUUACAUGAGGAAGCAAAACGUUUCUUCGAAGACUAUUAGGGCCAUUUCUUUGGCUCCUGAUCUUCCUACCCUCAUUACAUACUGCUCAUUGAUCUGUUCAGAAUCACUAUUCAUCCCAGUGCUCUUCCAGUUCAUAUUUUUAUCUGUGAAGGGAUACCAUAUGUAACCUGUUCAUGCUGUUGUUGUUUUUAAGUGUAACACUGCUAGUUUUAUGUACUUCUUUUUCAAAAAUUUAUCUAUUUUGUUCAGACUGUCUCCCUCUUAUGCCAGUCACUUUUGUACUAAUUUUUUACAUGUCGGAGCUUGCCUACCAGCUCUAGGAAAUGCAUUCCCUUUUGAUAAUAUCCUCAAGUCUAUACGCUACAAGCUGUUUGUUAUGUUUUUUCCCAUUUUGGAGGUGUCACCUUUGCAUGUGUACCUCCCUAAAGAAAGUUAACAGGAUCAAAUUAAAUGUUGGAUAUUUUUCCAACCCUCUGCCUGCCUUUGCAUUCUGCUGGUAACUCUUACUCAUUCAUUGUGUAUUUUUCUAAUUGAAAGAAACCCUCUCUUGUUGGGUUGUUAAGGUGUACAUACCACACCAGUUCUUCUCACUGUUGUAGCUAGUACUUGAAUACUUGCAUUUAGGGUAAUAAAUGCUUUGAUGUGCCAGA